rnacentral:misc_RNA from 1 species
GAUGAAGAACGUAGCGAAAUGCGAUAGGUAGUGUGAAUUGCAGAUGUAACGUGAAUCAUCGAAUCUUUGAACGCAAAUUGCACUCUCUGGUAUUCUGGGGAGUAUGCCUGUUUGAGGGUCGCCAAAUCAACAUCGAAAUUCAUUUGCUUUUGUAAAUGUUUAUCGGAUUUGAGCCGUCUUUUAUUUUUUUAAUUAAAGUGGCUUAAAAUGUAUUUUUUGGUAUCGAAAAACGUUAUUUUACGAUCAAAUUGAUUAAAAAAACAAACGUUUCGAAUGCCGUCUUUUAAUGUAAUACGCUUGACUGUGGUGUUAAUCAUAGUUUCAUUCGUAUACGAUUUUUUAAUUUUUGACCUCAAAUCAGGUAAGAACACCCGCUGAACUUAAGCAUAUCAAUAAGCGGAGGA